rnacentral:rRNA from 1 species
CCUACGGGUGGCAGCAGUAGGGAAUAUUGCUCAAUGGGGGAAACCCUGAAGCAGCAACGCCGCGUGGAGGAUGAAGGUUUUCGGAUUGUAAACUCCUUUUGUUAGAGAAGAUAAUGACGGUAUCUAACGAAUAAACACCGGCUAACUCCGUGCCAGCAGCCGCGGUAAUACGGAGGGUGCAAGCGUUACUCGGAAUCACUGGGCGUAAAGAGCGCGUAGGCGGGUUAGCAAGUCAGAUGUGAAAUCCUAUGGCUUAACCAUAGAACUGCAUUUGAAACUGGUAUUCUAGAGUAUGGGAGAGGUAGGUAGAAUUCGUGGUGUAGGGGUAAAAUGCGUAGAGAUCAAGAGGAAUACUCAUUGCGAAGGCGACCUGCUAGAACAUAACUGACGCUGAUGCGCGAAAGCGUGGGGAGCAAACAGGAUUAGAUACCCCAGUAGUC